rnacentral:rRNA from 1 species
GAUGAACGCUGGCGGCGUGCCUAAUACAUGCAAGUCGAGCGAAUGGAUUAAGAGCUUGCUCUUAUGAAGUUAGCGGCGGACGGGCGAGUAACACGUGGGUAACCUGCCCAUAAGACUGGGAUAACUCCGGGAAACCGGGGCUAAUACCGGAUAACAUUUUGAACCGCAUGGUUCGAAAUUGAAAGGCGGCUUCGGCUGUCACUUAUGGAUGGACCCGCGUCGCAUUAGCUAGUUGGUGAGGUAACGGCUCACCAAGGCAACGAUGCGUAGCCGACCUGAGAGGGUGAUGGGCCACACUGGGACUGAUACACGGCCCAGACUCCUACGGGAGGCAGCAGUAGGGAAUCUUCCGCAAUGGACGACAGUCUGACGGAGCAACGCCGCGUGAGUGAUGAAGGCUUUCGGGUCGUAAAACUCUGUUGUUAGGGAAGAACAAGUGCUAGUUGAAUAAGCUGGCACCUUGACGGUACCUAACCAGAAAGCCACGGCUAACUACGUGCCAGCCGCCGCCGUAA